UUAUACAAGGGGUGUUUAUUUGUUGGAAUGAUAUUCCAACAGAAUAAUAAUAUAACUGAAUUCGUGUGCGUUUUUUUGUAGGGCGUCCAGAUGCCUAGCAUUGCGAUUUUACUUUCAAACGAUGGCAGUCACGUGCUCCAUAUCUCUUCUAUCAGGGAGCAGUCAGGUGUCCAAGUCCAAAGGCAGGCGCAAAUUAUUGGACCAGGAAUCUGCAUGCCAAGUGUGACUAUUAUGAACUAGCCUCUUCCAAAAAGGCUAACAACAAAGGCUAACAAACAGUAUGACAGACCUUUUGCUCUGACAUAGAAAAAACGACUGAUGCAGCAAGACACAAGAAAAUACUUUCCAGGGCAGCCGCCCAUCUGGGCUAUCUUCAGAAAGGAAAUGUUUUACAGAAAGAACUGCAGGGGAAGCGAUCAAAGUAGAUCUCUUAUUAUCAGAAAGUAACAUUGAAUGGUGCAUUUAGAGUUUCAAACCAUAUAAAUUGCCCGGAUCGGAUGGAUUAACACAUAUCUAACAAGCAGAUCAAUUAUCUAGAAUGUAGCUGAGAAAAAUCUUCCACACCGUACUGGCUGUAGGAAAAUUGGUAACUGAAAGGAAGGCAAACCCUACUCAGCAAAGGAAUUCAGUCCAAUAAGCCUGGCAAAGACUGAUAAGACUUCACAUAAAACCCAUUAUGAACCGACAUUAUUAUACCAAAACCGAAAAGUUCGCAAGUAUCAAAAGUGUUUUGUAUAAAUUGUAUAUUAGGAAUAAAGGUUUAACACCCGCGUUUUACAAUAAAAAAUACAUUUCUUAAAUAUCUUCAAACAACGAUUGUAAUUGGAGCCCAACGUGAGGCCGCUUCAGAAAAAAAAGUUAAAAAAAUUGUUUAAUGAAAAUAAAGUUACAUAUAAACGGAGCUCGCGCGGCCAACAUCUCAACAUUUUUAGUAAAAAAUGUACACAAACAAGCACUAAAUAACAAAAAGCACAGCCCGCUGAAUCAAGAAAAACUAAAAGAGGACGGAAGGAAGGCCUCUCGCCAAUAUCUUCGCUGAGUCCAGGAACCAAGAUCAACCCACAACCUCUCAGAAGGAGGACCCCAUCGGGACAGUCUCGUGAGGAAUUAAUUAACAAUAAUAAAAAAAUAAAGAUUAUAAUUUAAGAUCAGGGAAUUUAAGAAUAUUAUACAAGAUUUACAUAAUGCUAAAAGAUGUAGCAAGAUCGCCUGUUACGUUACUGUUUAUAGUUCCAUAUGCACAAAAACAAGUAAGUUAAGUGCAGUCAACCCAACUAAUGUCGUUGACCGCAGUUAGGCCAACAACAUCGCUCCGCCCGAAUUGCUGAUCAAGCAAUGGGGCGGAUGCUCAUGCACAGUCGGCAAGCUCAGCAUAUUUGCGUGGCCGCUGUGAGUCUCUGUUAGCUUUAAGUCCUUUUUAUAUUCAGUUUGUAUUGAUAAUUUGAAUAAGCAGCACCAGCUCUCGAUUUAUUGAAACUCACUCCAUCAUAAGUAACUAACCGGAAUUCCGUGUCGAGACAGCGGGAAGGGAACCUCUAUAGUGGAUAUAAUUAAUUAGUAUAAUAAUAAAUAUAGCAGCAAGAAUAAUAAUAAUAAGCUUAAGAUCACUGCUGUAAUUAUGUAAGUAAACGCAUAUUUUAUAAGAGAGUAAGUUGAAAUGCAACUCUGAAAACUAGAGAGCUGAGGUACAGAACGAAGAGAGAGUCAUUAGUCGUUUGGUAAUUCGUCAGUGUGUACGCGAAAAUAAAGACUUCUGAAAAACCAACAAACCCAACAAAUACUUUUUAAAUAAUUACAUCACUCGAAACCCUACGAAUUCAGAAAUGGGCGUAACAAAAAUGAUAAACGUUUUAGAGUUAAGCUCAGUGUUGGUAGUGCAGUUUAAGAGAUGGUUGGAA